UACGGAGACUGCAAGCGUUAUUCGGAUUCACUGGGCGUAAAGGGUGCGCAGGCGGCCAUGUGUGUGAGGCGUGAAAGCCCGGGGCUUAACCCCGGAAUUGCACCUCAAACUACAUGGCUAGAGCAUUGGAGAGGGUAGCAGAAUUCACGGUGUAGCAGUGAAAUGCGUAGAUAUCGUGAGGAAUACCAGAGGCGAAGGCGGCUACCUGGACAAUUGCUGACGCUCAGGCACGAAAGCGUGGGGAGCAAAAGGG
rnacentral:rRNA from 1 species